rnacentral:rRNA from 1 species
CAGCCGCCGCGGGAAUACGUAGGGUGCGAGCGUUAAUCGGAAUUACUGGGCGUAAAGCGUGCGCAGGCGGUUUGUUAAGACAGAUGUGAAAUCCCCGGGCUUAACCUGGGAACUGCAUUUGUGACUGGCCGGCUAGAGUAUGGCAGAGGGAGGUGGAAUUCCACGUGUAGCAGUGAAAUGCGUAGAUAUGUGGAGGAACACCGAUGGCGAAGGCAGCCUCCUGGGCCAAUACUGACGCUCAUGCACGAAAGCGUGGGGAGCAAACAGGAUUAGAUACCCCUGUAGUCCCUGUCUCUUAUAC